ACCUCUUUUCAAAUCAAAGCAGCAUGAAAGAAACUCUCCCGUCUCUGCAACUACAAGAAGUAGGGCUAGAGGCAAUUUUUGGAAAUUUUCUGAAGUGAAAUCCAAAGAGAAGAAGUAAUAGAAUUUGUUGCAGUAAUUCU